AACGAACGCUGGCGGCAGGCUUAACACAUGCAAGUCGAACGCAUCCUUCGGGGUGAGUGGCAGACGGGUGAGUAACGCGUGGGAACGUGCCCUUCAGUUCGGGAUAACCCAGGGAAACUUGGGCUAAUACCGGAUACGUGCGAGAGCAGAAAGAUUUAUCGCUGAAGGAUCGGCCCGCGUCUGAUUAGCUAGUUGGUGGGGUAAUGGCCCACCAAGGCGACGAUCAGUAGCUGGUCUGCGAGGAUGAACAGCCACAUUGGGACUGAAACACGGCCCAAACUCCUACGGGAGGCAGCAGUGGGGAAUAUUGGACAAUGGGCGCAAGCCUGAUCCAGCCAUGCCGCGUGAGUGAUGAAGGCCUUAGGGUUGUAAAGCUCUUUCGUCCGGGACGAUAAUGACGGUACCGGAAGAAGAAGCCCCGGCUAACUUCGUGCCAGCCGCCGCGGUAA
rnacentral:rRNA from 1 species